AACGAACGCUGGCGGCAUGCCUAACACAUGCAAGUCGAACGAGACCCUCGGGGCUAGCGGCGCACGGGCGCGUAAGGCGGGGGAACCUGCCCGUAGGUUCGGAAUAACUCCCCGAGAGGGGUGCGAAGACCGGAGCAUCUCUUCGGACCAAAGUUUUAUCGCCUUUGGAUGGGCGCGCGUUGGAUUAGCUGGUUGGUAGGGGAAAAGCCUACCAAGGCCACGAUGCAUAGCUGGUCUGUGAGGAUGAUCCGCCACGCUGGGACUGCGACCCGGCCCAGACUCCUACGGGAGGCAGCAGUGGGGAAUAUUGGACGAUGGACGCAGGCCUGAUCCCGCCGUGCCGCGUGAGUGAUGAAGGCCUUAGGGUUGUACAGCUCUUUUACACGGGAUGAUAAUGACGGUACCGGGAGAAUAAGCUCCGGCUAACUCCGUG
rnacentral:rRNA from 1 species